UAGAACAACAGUCAACUGCUCAUUUGUCGUCUCAUGUUACCUUCGACCAUCGCCUGUAUGUAACGGAAGACUUAACGUUUUGCCUCCACUAUCCCCAGAUUUGUUGUUAGCUGUUAAUGAUUACAUUGAAGCUAAGCUCUGAAUCAACUUCCCAUCUUUCUAGCUUCCCUUCUUCUUCACCAUUUCAAACACUAUAUAUAUAAGCUUGCAGAAGAAGUCUCCGGACAGCUUUAUGUCUAGCUAUUUCUCUUUCAUAGCAUACUAUACUUUAGAGCGUAGACUAACGUAGCCAAUCCCCCAAAUAGUUCUGUCUGAGUUGAGGUCUGGGAGAUGUAAGGAUACCUUACUGACCUGUGUCCUCAGUUUAUAGGAAACAAGAAAGUCAAUCUCCACCACUUUCGAACACCAUCUCUAAGAAGUCACCAGAAGUAAUCAGUACUUAAAACUGACCACAUCACCUGUCUCUAUCCGCUUCACGCCUCAAACCAUCUUCGUCCAGGUCCGUAACAAAAAUAUUGGUUGGAUUGGAUACAUUUCUUAGACAAACAAACGCAAUGCCGUUUGGUACAAUUGUUGGUGAAGUUUUGGGCAUCAAAACCACAUACAACGAAUCAACGAUGAAACCGCAGACAAUUCAAAGGAUUAUGAUUAAUGCAUAUCUCCUCCACUCUGUCCCACAGACUGUGGAUUUCCUUUGCACUGGUUGAUGCUUCACUUUCUGCUUAUUGAUACUACAAAUGGUUGGUGCUUCACUUCUUGCUCGAAGUGCUCAAGAAGACAAGAAUGCUUCAACGUGGAUUCACAUCGUUCACAUGUUAAACUUGCCAUCAGGAAGCAGUUGGGGUCCUUAGGUACCUUGUCCAGUUCUCAGUCUCUGAUGGAACUGAAACAACUGUCUUUGUGGCAUUUGAUAGAGAGAUGACAAAGCUAACCAAUGCACGUGCGGUAGACAUUGGCCUACUAAUUGUGUUGGGAAGCCAGAGCUAAUAACCAUCCCACAGUUAGUCAAAGACUUGGUUGGCAUCACUUUCAGUUUCCAGGAGAAGCUUUCACCGUUUAACUCGCCUCCAAGCAUCAGUCCUUAACCAUAU